rnacentral:rRNA from 1 species
UAGGGAAUCUUCCGCAAUGGACGAAAGUCUGACGGAGCAACGCCGCGUGAGUGAAGAAGGAUUUCGGUUCGUAAAACUCUGUUGUUAGGGAAGAAAAAAUGUAUAGUAACUAUAUACAAAAGAGACGGUACCUAACUAGAAAGCCACGGCUAACUACGUGCCAGCAGCCGCGGUAAUACGUAGGUGGCAAGCGUUGUCCGGAAUUAUUGGGCGUAAAGCGCGCGCAGGUGGUUUAGAAAGUCUGAUGUGAAAGCCCACGGCUCAACCGUGGAGGGUCAUUGGGAACUAAUAAACUUGAGUGCAGGAGAGAAAAGUGGAAUUCCUAGUGUGGCGGUGAAAUGCGUAGAGAUUAGGAGGAACACCGGUGGCGAAAGCGGCUUUUUGGCCUGCAACUGACACUGAGGCGCGAAAGCGUGGGGAGCAAACAGG